AAAACCUGUCCCAAAGAAAAAGAGGACACAGAACGCUGACUGAGUGCCCUGCCGUGUGCGUGGUGUGUGUGUGUUACUUCCUGUGACCCUCCACAGCCCUGUGAGGCGUUGGGGACUAAUUACUGAGGCUCAGGACACAGCAAGACCUUUGGGCCCGUUCUCACACCAGAGGUGGGCUAGAGGAGCGAAAAUUCAAGCUCAGGGCUGUUCUGGCAGGCGAUACAUCAGUCCAAGAUCAUCUUCUCACAAUAGCAUGAGAUUUCAACCACAUCCCCCCUGAGUCUUCAUUUUCUCAAAAAGAGGUAGCUUGUGGCUAAACAACAACAUUGUACGCUUGAUGGGAGAACAAAUACAAAUCUGACUGUGUUCAUUUCUGUGGAGAACUAUGGGGUCUCUGCAAGUGGCACUGCUUAGUGUGUGAGGACCCGCGCCAGUUUUUUGUUACGGCUACUUGAAAAGAACCUAAAUGACAGCCAUCCAAACUCCCCAACACUGGGUCAGUCACAUUGAACAUAGAGAAAGAAUAUGAAUAAAACUAAGGAUGAAUGAAAACAUGGCUCAAUGGAAAUUUUCCAUACUGUCAGGAGAAAAUAAAAUGAUCCAGCUGCCCAGGAAAACAACUGGGCCUUACCUUAUAACAGGUGCAUCCCCAGCAACCCAGCCAUCCCUCCCCUCGGUGCUUCUCCCAGGACAGUGGUUCCCAAAGUGCAGGCCCAGACCACCAGCAGCUGCACCACCUGCGAACUUAUGACAAACGCAAAACCUCCGGCGCCACCCGGCCCACUGAAUCAGAAACUCCGGGCACGGGGCCCAGCAGUCUGUGUUCUAACAAGUCCUCCAGAGAAUUCUGAUGCACGCUCAUGUCUGAGAACCACUACGCUAGUGAAGGCUCAUAUAAAGAUGCCCAGGAGACAUCACCAAGAA